rnacentral:rRNA from 1 species
AGCAGCCGCGGUAAUUCCAGCUCCAAUAGCGUAUAUUAAAGUUGUUGCAGUUAAAAAGCUCGUAGUUGAACUUCAGGCCUGUCCAGACGGUCCGCCUUAAUUGGUGUGUACUGUCCUUGGGUGGGUCCUACCUUCUGGCGAAGCGGCAUGGCCUUAAUUGGUUGUGUCGGGGGAACCAGGACUUUUACUGUGAAAAAAAUUAGAGUGUUCAAAGCAGGCAAAUAUGCUCGAAUACAUUAGCAUGGAAUAAUGGAAUAGGACGAUGGUUCUAUUUUGUUGGUUCUAGGACCGUUGUAAUGAUUAAUAGGGAUAGUUGGGGGCAUUAGUAUUCAAUUGUCAGAGGUGAAAUUCUUGGAUUUAUUGAAGACUAACUACUGCGAAAGCAUUUGCCAAGGAUGUUUUCAUUAAUCAAGAACGAAAGUUAGGGGAUCGAAGACGAUCAGAUACCGUCGUAGUCUUAACCAUAACCUAUGCCGACUAGGAAUCGG